UUCCGGUUGAUCCUGCCGGACCCGACUGCUAUUUGGGUGAGAAUAAGCCAUGCGAGUCGAAUGGGAUACCUAAACUUCCCAUGGCAAACUGCUCAGUAACACAUGAUCAACUUAACCUAUAGAGAAAAAUAAUCUCGGGAAACUGAGGAUAAUGUUUCAUAGUUGAAUCGGCUUGGAAAAGUUUUUCAAUCAAAAGGAUAAGAAAAAUGGUUCUUAUUCGCUAUAGGAUAGGAUCGUGGACGAUUAUGGUUGUUGGUGAGGUAACGGCUCACCAAGCCGAUAAUCGAUAGGGGCCGUGAGAGCGGGAGCCCCGAGAUGGGUACUUAGACAACGACCCAGGCCUUACGAGGCGCAGCAGGCGCGGAACCUCCGCAAUACACGAAAGUGUGACGGGGUUACCCAAAGUGUUCAGUUUUGGACUGUGGUAGGUGAGUAAUGUUCCCUACUAGAAAGGAGAGGGCAAGGCUGGUGCCAGCCGCCGCGGUAAAACCAGCUCUUCAAGUGGUCGGGAUAAUUAUUGGGCUUAAAGUGUCCGUAGCCGGUUUAGUAAGUUCCUGGUAAAAUCGGGUAGCUUAACUAUCUAUAUGCUAGGAAUACUGCUAUACUAGAGGGCGGGAGAGGUCUGAGGUACUACAGGGGUAGGGGUGAAAUCUUAUAAUCCUUGUAGGACCACCAGUGGCGAAGGCGUCAGACUGGAACGCGCCUGACGGUGAGGGACGAAAGCCAGGGGAGCGAACCGGAUUAGAUACCCGGGUAGUCCUGGCCGUAAACGAUGCAUACUAGGUGAUGGUGUGGCCAUGAGCCGUAUCAGUGCCGUAGGGAAACCGUUAAGUGUGCCGCCCGGGAAGUACGGUCGCAAGGCUAAAACUUAAAGGAAUUGGCGGGGGAGCACCACAAGGGGUGAAGCCUGCGGUUCAAUUGGACUCAACGCCGGU
rnacentral:rRNA from 1 species